rnacentral:tRNA from 1 species
CCCUGAGUGGUGGAAAUGGCUAAAUGCUUGACUGUUAACCAAGAGGUUGAUGGUUCAAACCCAUCCAGAGGUG